rnacentral:lncRNA from 1 species
CCUCCACCAUCCAGAUGUGCAGGAGCUUUGGAAACUCAAGAGACAGAUGAGCACACAUGGAAGAGCGAUGCUCAGGUGCAGAGCGAGCAGGAGUGUGCAUUGCCACUGAUAGUGUUUACAGAACUGUGUUCUGCCACUGCAUCCAUCUUGCUGCACAGCCUGAGGCCAUCACCACAUGAAACAGUGAAGGAGAGGCUGAGCCUGCACACCCACACCAAAAUGCUUUUGAUAUUUGGAGAUCUACAGGAAUGGGUCACUACUCUGGCCAGUUUGUUGUUGUCUACCGUGGCUGUUGCAAGACUCAAAGAGAGAGUGCCAGGAUUAAAACCAAACCCAACUCCAGGCUUUGAAGGAUGUAGGGUGCCAGGCAAUGCCACUCAGUUAUGAAGCAGAGGAACGUGUAAAGCUGAUGGCUACGUGUGAAGCCAAACAAAAGCAGAUUAGAAAUGAAACACAUUUUUAAAAAAAUGUGAGCUUCGAAAUCAAGUAAUUUGAUGAGUCUCCAACUUCUGAUGUGUUCAUAUUCCCAUAUAUUGGUAUGUCCGGAGCUGGAUGUUUUCCUGGAAGAUGCAGCAAAGCUACUGGGCUCGGUACUGGGCUAAUUGACUGCAACUGAAUGGCUUUGAAAUAUAGGAAGUCAUACCAGAUGUUCUCAUGGCUCCUUCUGGCCUUAAAUCCUGUGAUUCUAUGAAUGAGUUUCUGAAUCUGCGAAAUCCCAAGUCCUGAGAAUACAAACAUAUGAGUAGAGUUAUACUUCUGGCCUCCACAUCAGAAGAAAGAUAUUGAAUGUGCAUUGUUGUGAUAAAUCAAAGAAGCAGCUAAAUCAGAGCUGUAAUAAAAGUCAACUGCAGAUCUUUGUGCA